GACGAACGCUGGCGGCGUGCUUAACACAUGCAAGUCGAACGGAAAGGCCCUGCUUUUGUGGGGUGCUCGAGUGGCGAACGGGUGAGUAACACGUGAGUAACCUGCCCUUGACUUUGGGAUAGCUUCAGGAAACUGGGGCUAAUACCGGAUAGGAGCUCCUGCUGCAUGGUGGGGGUUGGAAAGUUUCGGCGGUUGGGGAUGGACUCGCGGCUUAUCAGCUUGUUGGUGGGGUAGUGGCUUACCAAGGCUUUGACGGGUAGCCGGCCUGAGAGGGUGACCGGCCACAUUGGGACUGAGAUACGGCCCAGACUACUACGGGAGGCAGCAGUGGGGAAUAUUGCACAAUGGGCGGAAGCCUGAUGCAGCAACGCCGCGUGCGGGAUGACGGCCUUCGGGUUGUAAACCGCUUUCGCCUGUGACGAAGCGUGAGUGACGGUAAUGGGUAAAGAAGCACCGGCUAACUACGUG
rnacentral:rRNA from 1 species